rnacentral:rRNA from 1 species
UACGAAGGGGGCUAGCGUUGCUCGGAAUCACUGGGCGUAAAGCGCACGUAGGCGGCUUUUUAAGUCAGGGGUGAAAUCCUGGAGCUCAACUCCAGAACUGCCUUUGAUACUGAGAAGCUUGAGUCCGGGAGAGGUGAGUGGAACUGCGAGUGUAGGGGUGAAAUUGGUAGAUAUUCGCAAGAACACCAGUGGCGAAGGCGGCUCACUGGCCCGGUACUGACGCUGAGGUGCGAAAGCGUGGGGAGCAAACAGG